rnacentral:rRNA from 1 species
GGUUAAGCGACUAAGCGUACACGGUGGAUGCCCUGGCAGUCAGAGGCGAUGAAGGACGUGCUAAUCUGCGAUAAGCGUCGGUAAGGUGAUAUGAACCGUUAUAACCGGCGAUUUCCGAAUGGGGAAACCCAGUGUGUUUCGACACACUAUCAUUAACUGAAUCCAUAGGUUAAUGAGGCGAACCGGGGGAACUGAAACAUCUAAGUACCCCGAGGAAAAGAAAUCAACCGAGAUUCCCCCAGUAGCGGCGAGCGAACGGGGAGCAGCCCAGAGCCUGAAUCAGUGUGUGUGUUAGUGGAAGCGUCUGGAAAGGCGCGCGAUACAGGGUGACAGCCCCGUACACAAAAAUGCACAUACUGUGAGCUCGAUGAGUAGGGCGGGACACGUGGUAUCCUGUCUGAAUAUGGGGGGACCAUCCUCCAAGGCUAAAUACUCCUGACUGACCGAUAGUGAACCAGUACCGUGAGGGAAAGGCGAAAAGAACCCCGGCGAGGGGAGUGAAAAAGAACCUGAAACCGUGUACGUACAAGCAGUGGGAGCACGCUUCGGCGUGUGACUGCGUACCUUUUGUAUAAUGGGUCAGCGACUUAUAUUCUGUAGCAAGGUUAACCGAAUAGGGGAGCCGAAGGGAAACCGAGUCUUAACUGGGCGUUAAGUUGCAGGGUAUAGACCCGAAACCCGGUGAUCUAGCCAUGGGCAGGUUGAAGGUUGGGUAACACUAACUGGAGGACCGAACCGACUAAUGUUGAAAAAUUAGCGGAUGACUUGUGGCUGGGGGUGAAAGGCCAAUCAAACCGGGAGAUAGCUGGUUCUCCCCGAAAGCUAUUUAGGUAGCGCCUCGUGAAUUCAUCUCCGGGGGUAGAGCACUGUUUCGGCAAGGGGGUCAUCCCGACUUACCAACCCGAUGCAAACUGCGAAUACCGGAGAAUGUUAUUACGGGAGACACACGGCGGGUGCUAACGUCCGUCGUGAAGAGGGAAACAACCCAGACCGCCAGCUAAGGUCCCAAAGUCAU